UUGUCUAUUUCUGUAUUUCCGUCUUUGUUUGUGAUGUCGGACCGGGUUUUGUCUUUGAUAUUUUUGCGGGCUGUUUUGAACGUCAUUUAACCUUAAUUUAUAAUAAACCUCACGAUUUCAUCUCUACAAGUCACUUUAACAACUGCAUGGUUUGUUACAGCUCAUAUUUCACCAGGUCCUCCAGUCCCGGUUUGAGAGCGAAAGCCAGAGUUUGAUUGGGGUAACGUGUCUAAAGUACCAGAUACUUUGACGUUUCACUGUUACUGCCAUUCCAGUGGUUACACGGGUUGGACAUGUUUUGAUGUGUAAAUGACAAAAUAAAAUAUCGAACGAAACUUUA